UCUUAGCGGCGGACGGGUGAGUAACACGUGGGAACAUGCCCUUCACUGCGGAAUAGUCCCGGGAAACUGGGUUUAAUACCGCAUACGCCCUUCGGGGGAAAGAUUUAUCGGUGAAGGAUUGGCCCGCGUCUGAUUAGGUAGUUGGUGGGGUAACGGCCUACCAAGUCGACGAUCAGUAACUGGUUUGAGAGGAUGAUCAGCCACACUGGGACUGAGACACGGCCCAGACUCCUACGGGAGGCAGCAGUAGGGAAUCUUAGACAAUGGGGGAAACCCUGAUCUAGCCAUGCCGCGUGAGUGAUGAAGGCCCUAGGGUUGUAAAACUCUUUCGCCUGGGAAGAUAAUGACGGUACCAGGUAAAGAAGCCCCGGCUAACUCCGUGCCAGCAG
rnacentral:rRNA from 1 species